GUCCACACCGUAACGAUGAUUACUAGGUGUUGGAGGAUUGACCCUUCAGUGCCGCAGUUAACACAAUAAGUAAUCCACCUGGGGAGUACGACCGCAAGGUUGAACUCAAGGAAUUGACGGGGCCCGCACAAGCAGUGGAGUAUGUGGUUUAAUUCGACGCAACGCGAAGAACCUUACCAAGUCUUGACAUCCCUUGACGAUGCUGGAACAGUAUUUCUCUUCGGAGCAAGGAGACAGGUGGUGCAUGGUUGUCGU
rnacentral:rRNA from 1 species